rnacentral:rRNA from 1 species
CAUCGCCGCGGUAAAACGGAGGGAGCUAGCGUUGUUCGGAAUUACUGGGCGUAAAGCGCGCGUAGGCGGUUACUCAAGUCAGAGGUGAAAGCCCGGGGCUCAACCCCGGAACUGCCUUUGAAACUAGGUGACUAGAAUCUUGGAGAGGUCAGUGGAAUUCCGAGUGUAGAGGUGAAAUUCGUAGAUAUUCGGAAGAACACCAGUGGCGAAGGCGACUGACUGGACAAGUAUUGACGCUGAGGUGCGAAAGCGUGGGGAGCAAACAGGAUUAGAUACCCGCGUAGUCCCUGUCUCUUAUACA